GCUGGGCUGGGCCAGUCCACAUGAGAGGUGCUUUCUCCACUGAACGGACCCAGCUCUCCUAACAAGGCCAGCAAACAGGACAGGAUUGAGAUUUUCGGGUGGGGACCUUCUUCCUACAGUACUGCAACUCCAGUUCUGCCCAUCCUUCAGAACCCAGAUGGAGACUGACAUCUGCCUCCCCUAACACAUACGCCAUUAUCACCACCUCCAAACCCUUGCUCUGAAGUCACAGAUCUGCCUUCCAGACGUGGCUUGGCCCCUAAAGAAAUCAUCUCUGUAGCCUCAGUAUCCCCAUCUGAAGUGGCAUAAUCUUCCUACCUGACUCAGACAGGAGACACGCUGAAGAUACAGAAACUGAGAUACUGAGGCUGGAGAAACUUGCUUAAGGCACCAGAGCUCGUGAGUGAUGGAGCUGGGAUUUGACCCAGAUAAGCUGCUUCCGGAGAUGAUGCUUGAUACAUGUCCUUGCCAGAGAGAGAUAUAAAAAGAGAAAGGAGACAAGUAUGCUGAGCCUGAGUUCCUCACCUACAACGCAGACUCGGUGUGUGCCUGCUUCUGGGCCCAUGUGUCACCUGCUGAGCACAGGGCUGAGGACCCAACACGACUGCAGACGCUCACGGUGUAUGCUGCGCUACGAGUGAUCAUCUGUCUCAGUAUGAUGCAAUAAAUGUCAUUGUCUACUUCCAGCACCCAUGAGACUAUAAAUUUUACCUGACAAAACAUCAACCCAAAGUAAGGAAAGAAAAAA